rnacentral:antisense_RNA from 1 species
UGCCUGGAGUGAAGAUUCUGCCCAUUGGUCAAGAGACCUCCCUCUCAGAUGCUGGCUCUGCCCCUGCCUUUGGGGGUCGACCCUUGUACUCGCAGGACCUUAGGUGACUCUAUUCUACUUCUCUGAUCAUCCAGGAAGCCAACCUGCCUGAGGACGAGUCAUACUCUGUCCUCCCACCCCAGGCCAGAGAGUGGUAUCUGUCUGUCCACAAGUUGGAUCUGAAUGAUGCAGUGUUGCAAUCCCAUUUUAUAAAUGAGGCAACCAAAACUCGAACAGGACCAUAUUGCGACUGAAACAAGGCAUAACAGGUCUUUGACUGGCUAUCCUGUGGGUGUGGACUCAGGCUAGCCUGCGCAAAGUGGUGAGCAAGGUGGUUGGGAAAAUCAAAGGAGGGGGUAAGGUAGUGGCAGGUAACUAUCGAUAAUCUGCUCUUCUUCACAGAAAGACAGGCAAUUAGAUUGAAAAAUACCUGUGAUUCAAAGAAGUCACAAGUCACAGAGACAAACUUUUCCCAGUGUGUUCGAGUCAGAGAACCUUUGCAAAGACCAACAGGCUAAAAGAGAAAAUACAAUGUCAUCUUGAUGCAGAUGAGCAGGUAACCAUGGAAGUCGUGAGCUGAGGCUGCAGAGUCUAGAGCCAGAGUGUGGAAUAAACUUGGGUCUCAAAUCACCCCUGGAGCAAAGCCCCCAUCUAAUCAGGAACUUCUACUUUCAACUUUACAUGCGUGAGAAAUGAACUUCUAUCAUGUUAGAGAAAUCCUUACACGGCGCCCUUGAGAGCUUUCAUACUGCAAGUCAUCCAUUUUCCUCCCCUCAAACCUGGCAUCGGUGUUUAUUGAAACAAAGCAAAAUAAAA